rnacentral:rRNA from 1 species
CCUACGGGAGGCAGCAGUGAGGAAUAUUGGUCAAUGGCCGUAAGGCUGAACCAGCCAAGUCGCGUGAAGGAAGAAGGAUCUAUGGUUUGUAAACUUCUUUUAUAGGGGAAUAAAGGUAUCCACGUGUGGAUAUUUGCAUGUACCCUAUGAAUAAGCAUCGGCUAACUCCGUGCCAGCAGCCGCGGUAAUACGGAGGAUGCGAGCUUUAUCCGGAUUUAUUGGGUUUAAAGGGUGCGUAGGUUGUUUUUUAAGUCAGCGGUGAAAGUUUGUGGCUCAACCAUAAAAUUGCCGUUGAAACUGGAAGACGUGAGUGUGUUUGAGGUAGGCGGAAUGCGUGGUGUAGCGGUGAAAUGCAUAGAUAUCACGCAGAACUCCGAUUGCGAAGGCAGCUUACUAAGCCAUAACUGACACUGAAGCACGAAAGCGUGGGGAUCAAACAGGAUUAGAUACCCUUGUAGUC